rnacentral:rRNA from 1 species
UACGAGGGGGGCGAGCGUUGUUCGGAAUUAUUGGGCGUAAAGGGUGCGUAGGCGGUUUCGCAAGUCCUGUGUGAAAUCUUCGGGCUCAACUCGAAGUCUGCACGGGAAACUGCGGGGCUUGAGUGUGGGAGAGGUGAGUGGAAUUCUCGGUGUAGAGGUGAAAUUCGUAGAUAUCGAGAGGAACACCGGUGGCGAAGGCGGCUUUCUGGACGAUAACUGACGCUGAGACGCGAAAGCGUGGGGAGCAAACAGG